rnacentral:rRNA from 1 species
GACGAACGCUGGCGGCGUGCUUAACACAUGCAAGUCGAGCGAUGAAGUUCCUUCGGGAAUGGAUUAGCGGCGGACGGGUGAGUAACACGUGGGUAACCUGCCUCAUAGAGGGGAAUAGCCUUCCGAAAGGAAGAUUAAUACCGCAUAAGAUUGUAGUGCCGCAUGGUACAGCAAUUAAAGGAGCAAUCCGCUAUGAGAUGGACCCGCGUCGCAUUAGCUAGUUGGUGAGGUAACGGCUCACCAAGGCGACGAUGCGUAGCCGACCUGAGAGGGUGAUCGGCCACAUUGGGACUGAGACACGGCCCAGACUCCUACGGGAGGCAGCAGUGGGGAAUAUUGCACAAUGGGGGAAACCCUGAUGCAGCAACGCCGCGUGAGUGAUGACGGUCUUCGGAUUGUAAAACUCUGUCUUCAGGGACGAUAAUGACGGUACCUGAGGAGGAAGCCACGGCUAACUACGUGCCAGCAGCCGCAGUAA